GAUGAACGCUAGCGGGAGGCCUAACACAUGCCAGCCGAGCGGUAUGGAUAGCUUGCUAUCCAGAGAGCGGCGUACGGGUGCGUAACACGUGUGCAACCUACCUUUAUCUGGGGGAUAGCCUUUCGAAAGGAAGAUUAAUACCCCAUAAUAUAAUGAUUGGCAUCAAUUAUUAUUGAAAACUCCGGUGGAUAGAGAUGGGCACGCGCAAGAUUAGAUAGUUGGUGAGGUAACGGCUCACCAAGUCAAUGAUCUUUAGGGGUCCUGAGAGGGAGAUCCCCCACACUGGUACUGAGACACGGACCAGACUCCUACGGGAGGCAGCAGUGAGGAAUAUUGGACAAUGGGUGAGAGCCUGAUCCAGCCAUCCCGCGUGAAGGAUGACGGUCCUAUGGAUUGUAAACUUCUUUUGUACAGGGAUAAACCUACCCUCGUGAGGGUAGCUGAAGGUACUGUACGAAUAAGCACCGGCUAACUCCGUG
rnacentral:rRNA from 1 species